rnacentral:tRNA from 1 species
GCCACCAUAGCUCAGCUGGUAGAGCACGUCAUUCGUAAUGACGGGGUCGUCGGUUCAAAUCCGACUGGUGGCU